rnacentral:rRNA from 1 species
CGUAGGCUAGCUUGAAGAAACUGAGGCGAUAACCGCGACACAGACGAACCCUUCAGUUGUCCGUAUCACAGAUACACGCCCGACUACUACUCAUCCGAUAAUAAGCAAACUCAAACUAAAUUGACAAACUAUAGAAAUCUGGAGGAAAUAACC